rnacentral:rRNA from 1 species
AUGGGGUGACGAAGGGACGUAAGGGCUGCGAACUGACGGAAUAGUUCGUUGAAGCGCCUAGGCUUUGAGGGGUACAGGCAAAUCCGUACCCUGAGCUGAAACGCGAUAGUACACGGAAGCCUCCGGGCCGAAGUGAUAAUGCCCCCAAGUUGACUUCCUGGAAAAGCCCCUAAGCUCCAGGCUGCUGCAGCCCGUACCGCAAACCGACACAGGUAGUCGAGGAGAGUAUCCUCAGGCGCUCGAGUGAUUCGUGGCUAAGGAACUAGGCAAAUUAGACCCGUAACUUAGGGAAAAGGGUCCCCCCGCCUCGGCGGGGGCGCAGCAAAGAGGUCCAGGCGACUGUUUAGCAAAAACACAGGACUCUGCCAAUUCGAAAGAAGAAGUAUAGGGUCUGACACCUGCCCGGUGCUGGAAGGUUAAGGAAGGUGCUUAGGGUUAAACCGAAGGUAUUGACUGAAGCCCCAGUAAACGGCGGCCGUAACUAUAACGGUCCUAAGGUAGCGAAAUUCCUUGUCGGGUAAGUUCCGACCUGCACGAAUGGUGUAACGAUCUGGACACUGUCUCGGCCACGAGCUCGGUGAAAUUGAAGCAUCGGUUAAGAUACCGAUUACCCGCCACGGGACGGAAAGACCCCGUGAACCUUUACUAUAGCUUUGCAUUGGGCUUGGGUACAGGAUGUGUAGGAUAGGUGGGAGGCUAUGAAGCUGGGACGCUAGUCUUGGUGGAGCCGACGUUGAAAUACCACCCUUCCUGUACUUAGGUCCUAAUCCGGAAACGGAGACAUUGCAUGGUGGGUAGUUUGACUGGGGUGGUCGCCUCCUAAAGUGUAACGGAGGCUCGCAAAGGUACCCUCAGUACCGUUGGUAACGGUACGCAGAGCGCAUGAGUACAAGGGUGCUUGACUGGGAGAACGACGGUUCGAUCAGGUGCGAAAGCAGGCUCAAGUGAUCCGGUGGUUCCGCAUGGAAGGGCCAUCGCUCAAAGGAUAAAAGGUACUCCGGAUAACAGGCUGAUCUCCCCCAAGAGCUCACAUCGACGGGGAGGUUUGGCACCUCGAUGUCGGCUCGUCACAUCCUGGGGCUGGAGAAGGUCCCAAGGGUUGGGCUGUUCGCCCAUUAAAGUGGCACGCGAGCUGGGUUCAGAACGUCGUAAGACAGUUCGGUCCCUAUCUGUGGUGGGCGCAGGAACGUUGAGGAGGGCGAUCUCUAGUACGAGAGGACCGAGAUGGACGAACCGCUUGUGUACCGGUUGUGCCGCCAGGUGCAGCGCCGGGUAGCUAUGUUCGGAACGGAUAAGCGCUGAAAGCAUCUAAGUGCGAAGCCGGCUCCAAGAUGAACGUUCCAGUCCGCAAGGACGAAGGGCCGUGGGAGACUACCACGUUGAUAGGCCGUAGGUGGAAGCACAGCAAUGUGUUUGAGCCGAGCGGUACUAAUUGCCCGACAGCUUCCGC